UUGAUAACUUGUAUUCGAGCCUAGCCUACGUAGGUUCUCUUAUCAAGCUUAGCUUCUAAAGAUGCACCGUCUAUUAAUCAAAUAAGCUAUGGGAGAGGAAUAGUGGAGUAUUGUACAUAGAUAUUUGUGGCAUUUUUGCAAAAGGAAAAGGCAAAGGCAAAGGCAACUAUAUCUCUGCUCAAAAUGAGAAAAAACAGAGACUACUGUUAAGACAAAGUGCAAAAGCAAGUACAGGAAGGAAAGUCUUACCUCUGGAUAAGUUUCAGGAUGAUAGUGAAGUUGAAGGUCUGCAGGUCAUUGAUGUGAACUAAGCUACUCCAUUUCGGCUAGAAUCAGCACUGUAGAAUUUACUGUGGAUGAGUUUGUCAUUGUUUGAGGCU
rnacentral:lncRNA from 1 species